rnacentral:pre_miRNA from 1 species
AAGACACCCUUCUGAGGCAAGACUUGUUUCAGUGGGGCUUUGGUGCUCACUGAGUCUGCCCACUGAGUGUGUCCUU